UACGUAGGGGGCUAGCGUUGUCCGGAUUUAUUGGGCGUAAAGAGCGUGUAGGCGGCCAGGUAGGUCCGUUGUGAAAACUCGAGGCUCAACCUCGAGACGCCGAUGGAAACCAUCUGGCUAGAGUCCGGAAGAGGAGAGUGGAAUUCCCGGUGUAGCGGUGAAAUGCGUAGAUAUCUGGAGGAACACCGGUGGCGAAGGCGGCAUCCUGGACCGAGAUUGACGCUGAUGCGCGAAAGCCAGGGGAGCAAACGGG
rnacentral:rRNA from 1 species